UGGGGAAUAUUGCACAAUGGAGGGAACUCUGAUGCAGCGACGCCGCGUGAACGAAGAAGGCUUUCGAGUCGUAAAGUUCUUUUAUAUGGGAAGAUAAUGACGGUACCAUAAGAAAAAGCCCCGGCUAACUACGUGCCAGCAGCCGCGGUAAUACGUAGGGGGCUAGCGUUGUCCGGAAUCACUGGGCGUAAAGGGUUCGCAGGCGGAAAUGCAGGUCAGGUGUAAAAGGCAGUAGCUUAACUACUGUAAGCAUUUGAAACUGCAUAUCUUGAGAAGAGUAGAGGUAAGUGGAAUUUUUAGUGUAGCGGUGAAAUGCGUAGAUAUUAAAAAGAAUACCGGUGGCGAAGGCGGCUUACUGGGCUCAUUCUGACGCUGAGGAACGAAAGCGUGGGUAGCAAACAGG
rnacentral:rRNA from 1 species